GACGAACGCUGGCGGCGUGCCUAAUACAUGCAAGUAGAACGCUGAAGAGAGGAGCUUGCUCUUCUUGGAUGAGUUGCGAACGGAUGAGUAACGCGUAGGUAACCUGCCUUGUAGCGGGGGAUAACUAUUGGAAACGAUAGCUAAUACCGCAUAACAAUGGAUGACACAUGUCAUUUAUUUGAAAGGGGCAAUUGCUCCACUACAAGAUGGACCUGCGUUGUAUUAGCUAGUAGGUGAGGUAAUGGCUCACCUAGGCGACGAUACAUAGCCGACCUGAGAGGGUGAUCGGCCACACUGGGACUGGGACACGGCCCAGACUCCUACGGGAGGCAGCAGUAGGGAAUCUUCGGCAAUGGGGGCAACCCUGACCGAGCAACGCCGCGUGAGUGAAGAAGGUUUUCGGAUCGUAAAGCUCUGUUGUAAGUCAAGAACGGGUGUGAGAGUGGAAAGUUCACACUGUGACGGUAGCUUACCAGAAAGGGACGGCUAACUACGUG
rnacentral:rRNA from 1 species